rnacentral:lncRNA from 1 species
GACCCUCUUAUCAACAUAGAGAAGGUGGCGCAGAGACUCAAACGUCGGGUGAUCAAGUCAGAAAAGAAGCUAAGAGCCAUCAGGAUGGGUUUUUAGAACCUGGACCUUUCAAUCUAUGUUGUAUUCUGCUCCUUUUUGCUUUGCCGUGGCUGCAGAAGCUAGGUGCAAUUGUAUAAUUAGCUUCCUCUUUAAACCAAGACUUGCCAAACUAAGAGCCAUCAGGAUGGGGUUUUAAAACCUGGGCAUUUCAAUCUAUGUUGUAUUCUGCUCCUUUUGCUUGCCGUGGCUGCAGAAGCUAGAUGCAAUUUUAUAAUUAGCUUCCUCUUUAAACCAAGACUUGCCAAGCUAUGUGUGUAAGAAGUAAUGUUUCUUAUGUUAUAAGUAUUUAUUACGUAUGCAAUUCAUGCUUCUAUGGACACGUGCUCAACAUCUGCCGUUUAAUAUAUUCC